UACGUAGGGUGCAAGCGUUAAUCGGAAUUACUGGGCGUAAAGCGUGCGCAGGCGGUUUUGUAAGUCUGUCGUGAAAUCCCUGGGCUCAACCUAGGAAUUGCGAUGGAGACUGCAAGGCUAGAAUCUGGCAGAGGGGGGUAGAAUUCCACGUGUAGCAGUGAAAUGCGGCAGACUAUCAGGAGGAACACCCGUGGCGGAAAGCGGCUCUCUGGGA
rnacentral:rRNA from 1 species